GACGAACGCUGGCGGCGUGCUUAACACAUGCAAGUCGAACGGAAAGGCCCUGCUUUUGUGGGGUGCUCGAGUGGCGAACGGGUGAGUAACACGUGAGUAACCUUCCCUUGACUUUGGGAUAACUUCAGGAAACUGGGGCUAAUACCGGAUAGGAGCUCCUGCUGCAUGGUGGGGGUUGGAAAGUUUCGGCGGUUGGGGAUGGACUCGCGGCUUAUCAGCUUGUUGGUGGGGUAGUGGCUUACCAAGGCUUUGACGGGUAGCCGGCCUGAGAGGGUGACCGGCCACAUUGGGACUGAGAUACGGACCAGACUCCUACGGGAGGCAGCAGUGGGGAAUAUUGCACAAUGGGCGGAAGCCUGAUGAAGCAACGCCGCGUGCGGGAUGACGGCCUUCGGGUUGUAAACCGCUUUCGCCUGUGACGAAGCGUGAGUGACGGUAAUGGGUAAAGAAGCACCGGCUAACUACGUG
rnacentral:rRNA from 1 species